UACGUAGGCAGCGAGCGUUGUUCGGAAUUACUGGGCGUAAAGAGUGUGUAGGCGGUGUUCCCAGUCUGUUGUGAAAUCUCCCGGCUUAACCUGGGAGGGUGCAGCGGAAACUAGAAUGCUAGAGGGGUGGGAGAGGUAAGCGGAAUUCCUGGUGGUAGCGGUGAAAUGCGUAGAUAUCAGGAGGAACACCUGUGGUGUAGACAGCUUACUGGACCACUUCUGACGCUGGAGACACGGAAAGCGUGGGUAGCAAACAGGAUUGAGAUACCCAG
rnacentral:rRNA from 1 species